rnacentral:rRNA from 1 species
UACGUAGGGGGCAAGCGUUGUCCGGAUUUAUUGGGCGUAAAGCGCGUGUAGGCGGCCAGGUAGGUCCGUUGUGAAAACUCGAGGCUCAACCUCGAGACGUCGACGGAAACCAUCUGGCUAGAGUCCGGAAGAGGAGAGUGGAAUUCCUGUGUAGCGGUGAAAUGCGCAGAUAUCAGGAAGAACACCCGUGGCGAAGGCGGCUCUCUGGGGACGGUACUGGACGCUGAAGACGCGGAAAGCGUGGGGAGCGAACAGG